UAAGUACAAUUCGCUUGUGUUUUAUCAUUUCUCUUUCUGGAUUUUGUGGCUGAGUCAAUCGAAACUGCACAUCCAUAAUAACUUCAUGUAGGAACUUCAGGACAUCUUCAUGUCUUCCUCGUGUCUUUAUAUUAUCCAUUGGUGUAUAAUUCUCAAAUGCAAAGAUCCGCUCCACCCCAAGAUUGUUGAAAAUCUUCUCCUUUUCAGCAACAUUUCCCUGUGUUUUGUAAGUGAGAAUAACAACAGGAAAUAUUCCUGU